rnacentral:rRNA from 1 species
CCUACGGGAGGCAGCAGUGGGGAAUAUUGCACAAUGCGCGAAAGCGUGAUGCAGCAACGCCGCGUGAGCGAUGAAGGCCUUCGGGUCGUAAAGCUCUGUCCUCAAGGAAGAUAAUGACGGUACUUAAGGAGGAAGCUCUGGCUAACUACGUGCCAGCAGCCGCGGUAAUCCGUGGGGGGCUAGCGUUAUCCGGAAUUACUGGGCGAAAAGGGUGCGUAGGUGGUUUCUUAAGUCAGAGGUGAAAGGCUACGGCCCAACCGUAGUAAGCCAUUGAAACUGGGGAACUUGAGUGCAGGAGAGGAGAGUAGAAUUCCUAGUGUAGCGGUGAAAUGCGUAGAUAUUAGGAGGAACACCAGUAGCGAAGGCGGCUCUCUGGACUGUAACUGACACUGAGGUACGAAAGCGUGGGGAGCAAACAGGAUUAGAUACCCUAGUAGUC